rnacentral:rRNA from 1 species
GCCUGCGGAAGGAUCAUUACCUAGAGUUGUAGGCUUUGCCUGCUAUCUCUUACCCAUGUCUUUUAAGUACCUUACGUUUCCUCGGCGGGUCCGCCCGCCGAUUGGACAAUUUAAACCAUUUGCAGUUGCAAUCAGCGUCUGAAAAAACUUAAUAGUUACAACUUUCAACAACGGAUCUCUUGGUUCUGGCAUCGAUGAAGAACGCAGCGAAAUGCGAUAAGUAGUGUGAAUUGCAGAAUUCAGUGAAUCAUCGAAUCUUUGAACGCACAUUGCGCCCCUUGGUAUUCCAUGGGGCAUGCCUGUUCGAGCGUCAUUUGUACCUUCAAGCUCUGCUUGGUGUUGGGUGUUUGUCUCGCCUCUGCGUGUAGACUCGCCUCAAAACAAUUGGCAGCCGGCGUAUUGAUUUCGGAGCGCAGUACAUCUCGCGCUUUGCACUCAUAACGACGACGUCCAAAAGUACAUUUUUACACUCU